rnacentral:rRNA from 1 species
GACGAACGCUGGCGGCGUGCUUAACACAUGCCAGUCGAACGGACAGGCCCUGCUCUUGCGGGGUGCUCGAGAGGCGAACGGGUGAGUAAAACGUGAGUAACCUGCCCCUGAAUUUGGGAUAAAUUCUGGAAACUGGGGCUAAUACCGGAUAGGAUCUCCUGCAGCAUGGUGGGGGUUGGAAAGUUUCGGUGGUUGGGGAUGGUCGGGCGGGUUAUCAGCUUGUUGGUGGGGUAGUGGCUUUCCAAGGCUGUGACGGGUAGCCGGCCUUGGAGGGUGACCGGCGACAUGGGGCCUGAGGUAGGGCGCAGACUGCAACGGGACGCAGCAGGGGAAAAUAUUACGCAAUGGGCGGAAGCCAGAUGCAGCAGCGCCGCGUUCGGAAUGACCGCCUUCUGGUUAUAAACCACUGUCGACGUUGACAAAGAGUGAGUGACGGUAAUGAAUAAGAAAGCACCGGCUAACUACGUG